UAAAGUGACGACUCCUCACUUUUCUCACUUCGGUAAGAGCUCAUCCAGGUGACCGCAAAAACUCUUGCGACAAAGCAAUUAAGAAUGCGUUAUCUGAGAUAUUGCAAACUUCCUGCAUUUAAUUAAUACUUGUAUACUGACUGCAAGAAACCUGAACGUUCAUUUUUCCUUUCAGCGCAUAGUACUGAUGAAACUAUUCUACUAUAAUGAUGUAACGGUAUGUCAGUUAACUAAAUUCUAAAAAUUAGUUUCUAUACAUUUGUACGCAAGUGAUUGCUCUUUAUGAUUUAGAACAUAAAAAUUUCCUAAUUUUUCUAAAUUAAGGAUAGGCCUUUUAUGAGGAUGUCUUUUUCUUCCAUCUAGUAUCUACUAUAACUUUGGUAGUUUCGGACAGCUAGAAUGGUUGGAUAUUGAGCUGCCUUUACGCUUG
rnacentral:misc_RNA from 1 species